GGUCAGACUCCUACGGGAGGCAGCAGUGGGGGAUAUUGCACAAUGGGGGAAACCCUGAUGCAGCAACGCCGCGUGAGUGAAGAAGUAUUUCGGUAUGUAAAGCUCUAUCAGCAGGGAAGAGAAUGACGGUACCUGACUAAGAAGCCCCGGCUAACUACGUGCCAGCAGCCGCGGUAAUACGUAUGGGGCAAGCGUUAUCCGGAUUUACUGGGUGUAAAGGGAGCGUAGGCGGCCUGGCAAGCCUGAUGUGAAAUACCGGGGCCCAACCCCGGGGCUGCAUUGGGAACUGCCAGGCUGGAGUGCCGGAGAGGCAGGCGGAAUUCCUAGUGUAGCGGUGAAAUGCGUAGAUAUUAGGAGGAACACCAGUGGCGAAGGCGGCCUGCUGGACGGUGACUGACGCUGAGGCUCGAAAGCGUGGGGAGCAAACAGGAUUAGAUACCCUCGUACA
rnacentral:rRNA from 1 species